GUGAGGAAUAUUGGUCAAUGGGCGGAAGCCUGAACCAGCCAAGUCGCGUGAGGGAAGAAGGCCCUGCGGGUCGCAGACCUCUUUGGACGGGGAGCAAGGCCGCCGACGUGUCGGCGGAAGGAGAGUACCCGUAGAACAAGCAUCGGCUAACUCCGUGCCAGCAGCCGCGGUAAUACGGAGGAUGCGAGCGUUAUCCGGAUUUAUUGGGUUUAAAGGGUGCGUAGGCGGAAUGCCAAGUCAGCGGUAAAAUCGCGGGGCUCAACCUCGCUCCGCCGUUGAAACUGGCGUUCUUGAGUGGGCGAGAAGUAUGCGGAAUGCGUGGUGUAGCGGUGAAAUGCAUAGAUAUCACGCAGAACUCCGAUUGCGAAGGCAGCAUACCGGCGCCCAACUGACGCUGAAGCACGAAAGCGUGGGUAUCGAACAGG
rnacentral:rRNA from 1 species